UUAUGUGAUCGUCUCUCGCAUAUCAAUAAGCGGAGGAAAAGAAACUAACAAGGAUUCCCCUAGUAACGGCGAGUGAAGCGGGAAGAGCUCAAAUUUGAAAUCUUAAAGGGUUUCCCUUUACGAAUUGUAGUUUAAAGAAGUGUUUUCUGUUGAGGUUUUGGUAAAAGUUCUUUGGAAUAGGACAUCAUAGAGGGUGAGAAUCCCGUAUUUGACCUUUACUUUCAACUUUGUGAUACACUUUCAAAGAGUCGGAUUGUUUGGGAAUGCAGUCCAAAAUGGGUGGUAAAUUUCAUCUAAAGCUAAAUAUUGGCGAGAGACCGAUAGCGAACAAGUACCGUGAGGGAAAGAUGAAAAGAACUUUGAAAAGAGAGUUAAACAGUACGUGAAAUUGUCAAAAGGGAAGCGUUUGACACCAGUGUUGUUUUUCUGAGAAUCAAUUAAAGAACUGUUUAUGCUAAGUUGUUUAGACUUUAUCAGCUAACUGUUUAGUUUUGAGCUUUUCUUUAAUGCACUUUUCAGUUAACAAGUCAACAUCAAUUUCUUUUGCUGUAAAAAAGCUUGAGGAAGGUGGCUUGAGAUUCGUCUUAAGUGUUUAUAGCCUCUUGCCUAUGCAGUCGGAGAGAUUGAGGUCUGCAGCGUAGAUCCUUCGGGGCUAAAUGCAUUUGUGCUAAGUUAUAGCAUUUUAUAGACAACUUGUUGACUAUGAUUUGUCUUGUAGCUUACUCGCUUAUGUUAUUUUACCUACGCUUAGGAUGUUGACACACGCGCGUGCUCG
rnacentral:rRNA from 1 species